UACGUAGGGUGCAAGCGUUAAUCGGAAUUACUGGGCGUAAAGCGUGCGCAGGCGGUUGGGCAAGACCGAUGUGAAAGCCCCGGGCUUAACCUGGGAAUGGCAUUGAUGACUGCACGGCUAGAGUGUGUCAGAGGGGGGUAGAAUUCCACGUGUAGCAGUGAAAUGCGUAGAGAUGUGGAGGAAUACCGAUGGCGAAGGCAGCCCCCUGGGAUAACACUGACGCUCAUGCACGAAAGCGUGGGGAGCAAACAGG
rnacentral:rRNA from 1 species